rnacentral:lncRNA from 1 species
UUUCUCAAAGAAAAUGACCUCCAGACUCAUGCUACCAUCUCGACCGGUGCAAGUAUCACGCAUGCGCAGGGCCGGCCGCCCGGCCGCACCUCGCCAACUCCUACUCGGACACGUCAUCUAGUGCGUUUUGUUCAAUUCUUUGUUCAAAACCCCAAGAAUCUGGACAACUUGCACUCAAGACCCUCUACGGGUUUGGCGAGCCAGUCUUUCAGUGGCUGUUUUCUAGUAGCUCCUUGGCAAUUGAGGGGAACUGGCUGGGACCACUCUCCAGUGCUGUCUGAAGGCCAAGGAGUGAACAGGGAUGGCUGCCCUGCCUUGAAGAGGGAAGGACUCUUUUCUAUCCUUUCCAGCUAUAGUCCCUGAUCCCUACAUGUGAUGCGGUUGGCAGCGGAAGCUCAUCCUGGGCGAACUCACACACUUUUCAGGAGACUUAAACCUUUUCUUAUGCUAAGUUCUUCCCUUCCCCUACUCAUCUGGCUAAAGGACAGACUAUGCAAAAAAGGUUAUACAAGUCAGAGGGUCUGAGCAUGUCGGAGGUGGUCUGUGUGGGGCAUGGGGUGGGGGGAAAAUUCAUGAAAGGCAAUUUAUUGCCUAAAUUUAAAGGGUUAAAGGGUUGCUUUAAGUGGGAUAGAAAAACCUUAAGGAAAGUUCAUAGUAGGUCCUCAGUGGUGGAGUGUUGUGGGAAGUCAGGGACCCUGAAUGAAGGGACUGGCUGAAGCCAUGGCAGAAGAACAUAAACUGUGAAGAUUUCAUGGACAUUUAUUAGUUCCCCAAAUUAACACUUUUAUAAUUUCUUACGCCUGUCUUUACUGCAAUCUCUGAACAUAAAUUGUGAAGAUUUUAUGGACAUUUAUCACUUCCCCAAUCAAUACUCUUGUGAUUUCCUAUGCCUGUCUUUACUUUAAUCUCUUAAUCCCGUCAUCUUCGUAAGCUGAGGAGGAUGUAAGUCGCCUCAGGACCCUGUGAUGAUUGUGUUAACUGCACAAAUUGUUUGUAGAGCAUGUGUGUUUGAACAGUAUCAAAUCUGGGCACCUUAAGAACAGGAUAACAGCAACGUUCAAGGAACAAGGGAGAUAAUCUUAACGUCUGGCUGCCUAUGGGCCGGGCAGAACAGAGCCAUAUUUCUCUUCUUUCUAAAGCAAAUAGGAGAAAUAUCGCUGAAUUCUUUUUCUCAGCAAGGAACAGCCCUGAGACAGAGAAUGUGUGCCUAGGGGUAGUCCUCCAAAAUGGCCACUCUGGGGACGGCUGUCUUUUAUGGUCGUAGAUAAGGGAAGAAAUAAGCCCCGGACUCCCAUAGUGCUCCCAGGCUUAUUAGGACGAGGAAAUUCCCACCUAAUAAAUUUUGGUCAGACUGGUUGUCUGCUCUCAAACCCUGUCUCCUGAUAAGAUGUUAUCAAUGACAAUGCGUGCCCGAAACUUCACUCGCAAUUUUAAUUUCGCCCUGGUCAUGUGGUCCCGUGAUCUCACCCUGCCUCCAUUUGCCUUGUGAUAUUUUAUUACCUUGUGAAGCAUGUGAUCUCUGUGACCCACACCCUAUUCAUACACUCCCUCCCCUUUUGGAAAUCACUAAUAAAAACUUGCUGGUUUUACGGCUUAGGGGGCAUCACAGAACCUGCCGACAUAUGAUGUCUCCCCUGGACACCC